CACUUGAGCUUGGAUAGGUUUGGGGACUAAAGGAGUUUUGUGCAAGACCUCGGGGUCUUUGUAAGUAUUGUCCACUAAGUCCGAGGACUUAAAUGUAGGUUUUAUCAUAGCCUUGCACAUAUAAUAUGCUUCGCACACUUUACGCACCUCGCAUGCUUUGCACGGCCUGCACCCUCUGGACCUUAUGUGGGAUGCCAAAUUUGUGGUGGACUUGGCUGCGUGAGAAUUUUAUGCAUUCUUUGUCAAUGAUGUGUGCAAGUGCUUUGGCCUCCACCUAUUUAGUCAUAUAACGCACAACCACAAUAACAUAUUUAAGACGUCCUGGGCAAGAGGAAAAUGUCUUAUAAGGUCGAUACCCCUGGUGGAAAAGGGCAUGGGCAAAAGGAGGCUUGUAUGCGUUCUGGAUCCGAACAUAGUUGGGAUGGUUGGGAUCACCUAUCUCACGGAUGAUAUUGGAAGAAACAAAAGAUGCUUCCAACCAUGUAUGAAGAGACGAAAAGAUGCAGCCAAAGGAUUUCUUCUGCCAAAACAUCUGAAGCAGUAAAAAAGUCACAAGCACAACAUUUUGCGCAGUCCACAUCUUCAAAUGCAAAGAGUGGCUUCUGGCUUGAGAGCUGCAGUAAGAUUGAAGGUGAUGCUCAAGCAGAAAUUCCGGAAUGGAUGGAGAACUUUUCUAGUGAUUCAAAGUGGUUAGGUACACGUAUAUGGCCACAGGAAACAGGAGUGGACAGCCACUGUUUAAUCGAAAAGGAUCCUGUUGGACUUGGGAGACGUGAUCUGUGUGAUUGUGAGAAUAAAGGUUCCCUUAAAUGUGUUCGAUUUCAUGUUUCUGAGGAAAGGAUUAGACUACAGCAUGAGCUGGGCACGGCCUUUUAUCAAAUGCAAAUUGACAAGAUGGGCGAGGAAGUUGCAUUAUCUUGGACUAACGCAGAGGAAAUGAACUUUGUGGCUGUAGUAGUAAAGUCAAAACAUUUGCGUGCCAAAAGAAAAAAUUCGGAAUCUUCUUCUGAAGAUGAUGAGGGUUUCUGGAAAGAACUGCUUCAAAUUUUUCCCAACAAAACUAGGCAACAGUUGGUGAGCUACUACUACAACGUCUUUCUUCUUCGGCAAAGAGCUCUGCAGAACAGGUCCACCGCAGUUGAAAUUAGCAGUGACGAUGAAAAUAGAGUUUGAAACAACUAUAAAUUGCAUUGGACAAACAGCGUGAGAUCUCCUAAACUCAGUUAUUGUUCGCCAAAAAGAUUCAUCUAAAUUUCAGAGAAUAGGUUGCAAAGUCUUGGCUAUAGCCGUUAAUUGCAGGAUUUCUGUGGGUUAUCUUGACUGUUCAUGUUUUCAAUUUUUCAUAGCACAUAAGUUUAGAAGGUAUAUGAAAGUUUACUCCGGAUUUUUUUUUUCAUAUGCCCGUGGAUAGUUUAUAGCCCUGUGAUGGCUAACAAUUUCUUUUCCCCGAAGGUUAACAAUUGUGUUUGGUUGAAUAUUUUCUCAUCCUUCA